GAAAGGGGCUCCGGAAAAUCAUAAAACAAGCAGGUGAACAAGACCAGGUGUGUCGGCACCUCCCUGCUCAGUGCCCAGCAGAGUUGUGAGAAAACCCAGUUGUCCAAUAAUUGUCAAGCUUUCCUUGGCCUUAGGGAAUGAGCACUCAAGACCUUUCUGGGCCAAGUGUGGUCGCCGACUCCUGUAAUCCUAGCACUUUGGGAGGCCGAGGAGGGAGAGCUGCUUGAGCCUAGGAGUUCAAGACUAGCCUGAGCAACAGCAGGACUUCAUCACUACAAAAAAUAAAAAAUUAGCCAUAUGUGGUGGUACACCCCUGUAGUCCCCCAGCUACUCGGGAGGCUAAGGUGGGAGGAUUACUUAAACCCAAGAGGUCGAGGCUGCAGUGAGCCGUGAUCGCACCACUGCAGUCCAGCUUGACCCUGUCUCAAAAAAAAAAAAAAGAACCUUCUGGAAGCAGAAAGGAGGAGGUUUUCCAAAACCAAAUCAUGUCAAGUACCUAGCUUGACCUCAAAAAAAAUACAGAAGCAGGGUUGGUAAUUGAUUGACAGGAAGGGCAGCUCAAAGCAGGAAAUGGAGAGUGGUAUGAAAACACUUAAGCAGUACAGCCCAAAGGAAGAACCUGAAAAGUUCAGCCAUACAUUUUCUGAGAAGAUGAAAGUGUAGGCAUUAGCAUACUCAAGAAUCAGGCAGACAGUUUUCCCCAUUUGGAAGCUGAAAAAGGAAUGAUCUGCUGCCCAAGACAAGAAAAUGAUGUGGGCCCAGAGGGAACCGUCACUCACACGUACACUGUCCAGGGGGCCAGAGAAGGAUUACAGCCGCCAUUUUGGCUUCUCUAGAGUGAAGCAGCAAAACAAUGUCUAGUGGUUGCUAGGCAACCAUUAGUCCAUCGCUGCCCUUUUCCAUUAAACAUUAUCUGCCUUCUUAGAUUGUUUUAAUUUACUUUUUUAAACAGGAUAGGUAAUGCAACAGAGAAUUAACGGUGCAACCUAACAAUGAAAACGCAUUUGAGGUUCCCAAAUCAGUGAAGGCUUUGCAAAGGUUAGAUCACUCUUGGGUGGAUGCCGAAGAUAGUGACAGUUGACUGAAACCUCUUCCCCAGACAUUUCAUCACUGGUCCUCAUGUUUCCUAGUGCCAAAAAUAAUAAUGUGGACGUAACAAUAAUCUCUGUACAUUGUAAAAUGUCUGUCCUCUGCUACGACCUGCUCCAAGCUAGAUCUUGUCCUGAAGCAAGUUUCUCUAUUGGCAAAGAGUGGAUGUCAGAGGUGGUAAAAUGGAGUUCUAGCCCUGGUCAGCUUUGUAGAUAGCUAAGAUCAUGGUAUCCAAAGAACCUGAGCAAAAGUACGUGGAAAUAACACCUGUUUGUGCAAGGAACACUUUCUGACACAUAAAAAUGCAAAGUAACUGGUAGGAGCGAAUAAGCAUCUUUAUUCAGAUACACAUUGCAUUCGGAUUUUAAACAUACCUAAUGACUUUUACAACAAGAGGACACUGAGGUACCCAGAAAGAGGGUGGAAAAUCAGGAUGAAGGGAGUUACUGCUAGCCUGUCAUGUACCAUGCACACAACCUAUCUUUUUAAAUACCAGUGGAUUUCCUGUCUGGCUCAGGGGGCCUGUCUAGGAAGAGAUUCAAGGAAAGUAGAUGGGUUAGUUCCAGGGACUGGGGCUCAAAAAUUUAAAGCCACAUGUAACGUUAGCUCUCUCACUCCCACACACAUUUAAGAUAAAGGAGAUGGCAGUAGUGUGCUGCCCGGAGGAUGGAAUACGCAGAUAACUAGGUUUCUAUACUGGUUCUACUCACUAGUCUGAUCUUGGGUAAUUUUUUGGGUCAUUGUUCUGUAAGGGAGGGCAAUAAUAACUACUUGGUCAGGGCUGUUGUGACAAUUCAGCAAUAAAACAUGGUCAAUUGCAGCUAAGUAUAA